rnacentral:rRNA from 1 species
UACGGAGGAUCCGAGCGAUAUCCGGAUUUAUUGGGUUUAAAGGGAGCGUAGGCGGGUUGUUAAGUCAGUUGUGAAAGUUUGCGGCUCAACCGUAAAAUUGCAGUUGAUACUGGCAUCCUUGAGUACAGUAGAGGUAGGCGGAAUUCGUGGUGUAGCGGUGAAAUGCUUAGAUAUCACGAAGAACUCCGAUUGCGAAGGCAGCCUGCUGGACUGUAACUGACGCUGAUGCUCGAGAGUGUGGGUAUCAAACAGG